CAGAAUGUGGCUCUAAAUGCAGAGCUUCCCAGGUGCAAUGGCUGGAAACCUCAGGUCAAAAAGGUCGUGGGGUGGGGACGGUGGGAAAACCAACCCCACUGCCCCUUCCCCUGCAGCAGUGAGUUACGCGUGGGCUGAGCCAGUAGGAGAGAGCAGUGACUCGGAAGGGAUCACUGACAGACUCUCCCCGGAAUUGCCAGAGCCUGUAAACAAGAACUUCUGCAUGACACGCAUGUGCUCUACUUCUAAGCUGAUGGUCAUCUCCUUGAGCAAAGGGCACAUAAAAUAUGCUGUACCCAAACUUUGGCCCCUUCGACGCUGCCCUAUAUCCCAGGAUCUGAUCCCAGAUCAUCUGCUUUGAACUGGAUAAGUCUACACCGCCAGAUAAUCCAAGUCAGAUCAUCUGAGGUCAGAAACAGUGUAGAUCCAGCCAAUGUUUCUGAUUAAGAGAGCCACCAUUAGUGGUUUGAGUAAUGGACUACAACACUGGGUUCAAGUAACAACAGCAUUGGCUGCCUCCUGGUUCUUGUUGAACUCAGGUAUUAUUGGAAAUUUCAGCUAGUUCAAAGAGUCCUCAAGGGAGCUAGCUACAAGGACCGAACAACUCCCUGACUAAAACAGCUCCACUGGCUGCCGAUUAGCUGCCGGGCCCAAUUCAAGGUGCAAGUUAUGGCCUAUAAAGCCCUAAACGGUUUGGGCCCCACCGAUCUUCACGAUCGCAACUCCCCCGAUGCCCCAGUGCGGUCCCUUAGAUCCUCCGGUGAGGUGCUCCUCUCGAUCCCACUGCCGUCCCAAGUAUGGCUGGUGGGGACGAGAGAGAGAGAGAGAGGGCCUUUUCGGCGGUGGCCCCCCGCCUCUGGAACACCCUACCCAAAGAGAUAAGGUUAGCUCCAUCAAGAACAUCUUUUCGUAGGGACUUGAAAACUUGGUGGUUCCAAUGGGUUUUUGGAAAUGACUAAUCUGAACCUUAGACACUAUUUGGGGUCUAGAUUAGUUUUGGAAGCGAUCAUCUUGUAAUCCCUAGACGCCUCUCUGGCCAGUACAAGACUUCUGUCCUGCACCUUUCCUGCUCCUUGAUCUUGUUAUGGUGUUUGUUUUCAAGUUCUAUCUGAUAGCUAUAUAGUAGGCUGAAGUGGUGCAACCCUGGCCUAGGUUCCUUUGCUAUCAGCCACACUUCACCCCUGGCUUAUGCCUAUUUUUAUUAGGUUAGUUUUACCCUGGCCCAUAUUGCCAUCUUGUUCACUUUAUAUAUUAUACCCAUUGGCUCUAGAAUCACCCAAGGGUGCGGUUGAAAUUGUUUUUAUUUAUUGGUUUAAUUGUUUUUAAAUGUUUGGAAUUUUAAACAUGGUUGUUAAUUAUUAUACUGGUUUUUGUAUCUUGUAUGAUGUAUAUGUAUUGAAUGUUUCAUUAUGUGUACACUGCUUUGAGUCCCACACGGGAGAUACAGCGGUAUAUAAAGUUUUGUUGUUGUU